AUUGAACUCUUGCGGCAGGCCUAACACAUGCAAGUCGAGCGAGCUCCGGCCGGUUGACUAAUGUAUGGGGACUGCUCGAUAUCGGGGGAUCACUACUGGAAACGGUAGCUAAUACCGCAUACUAUCGGAUAACCCAUAUGGUAUUCGCUAGUAGGUGAGGUAAUGGCUCACCUAGGCGACUAUCCCUAGCUGGUCUGAGAGGAUGAUCAGCCACCCUGGGACUGAGACACGGCCCAGACUCCGACGGAGGCAGCAGUGGGGAAUAUUGCACAAUGGGCGCAAGCCUGAUGCAGCCAUGCCGCGUGUAUGAAGAAGGCCCUAGGGUUGUAAAGUACUUUCAGUCGGGAGGCGUUACCGACAGAAGAAGCACCGGCUAACUCCGUGCCAGCAGCCGCGGUAAUUC
rnacentral:rRNA from 1 species